CUAAGGCGCCGCGUUAAGGCCGCGGUCUCUUCGGGGGCGUGGGUUCAAAUCCCACUCUAAUCA
rnacentral:tRNA from 1 species